ACGCACAAGCCUGAGAAAUGGCCCAGGAAAGAAUGAUCAGAGAUUUGCGUUUGCGGCAUAACCAGCCACCAUGUCCAAGAAUGCUCAGGUCCCAGAGAAGAUGGCUUCUCCCAAUACACCUGAGGUCCUGGCUUGGGUUCCUGGUCUAACUCUCUGGGACUUAAGAACUGAAACUCCAACCAUCACAGCCAAGAGGAGCCUAAGGGGACAUGAUGACUAAAUGUCAUGUGGAAUCCUGGAACAGAAAAAAGAUAAUAGGACGACGUAGAGCCCGAGUUGUCUCAGUGACGCGGCCGCAGAGAGCAGCCCCCAACUUCUGGAGGAGAAAAGCGGGGCUGGGGGGGGGUCCCGCGCUCCCAGCACAGCGCCCACCACUCUUCCACUCGCACGGACCGCCGUCUCCCGUCUUCCACUGCUGUUUACUUUCGAGAGAUACAAAGGCAAUUGUGUGCGGCAACCUCAUGGGCAGUCCAAACGGUUGGAAGUAAAUUCAUGAUAAAUGUCCUGGAGCCGGUGGAAGAGAAGGUCAGAGGAGGAGGGAUGAGAUGGAGAAGGCUACCGCCAAUGAACAGCAGGAGGAAGAGCUCCGUGGUUCCAACGCCGGGACACGAGUUGGUCUGGGCCUUCUCCAUGCUCUUUGAACCAUAAUUCUACAGGACAUUUUGAAGUGCAUGUUGCACUAUUUUGCGUUAGGAGUUUAUCAAGGGCACUACAAUCCUCACGAAUAACUGAAACACCGUAUUUUAUUCAAGGAGUUGUAAACUUUGCUCAGGGUCUGCCAUGGAUGCGGCCAUGGGGGUCCGAUGGGCAUCGGGGAUGGCUAGGCUCUUAAGGAGAAGGGGUUGACACUUUGGUAGGUCUCAGUUUUUGUGGUGAUGCUACUUGUCUUAGCAUCUGCUUUGGAUCGGAGGAAAAUAUUCACUAAAAAGUGAUCUUGCAAAAUACAGUAAAAAACCAGGUCAGCCUGGUGGCGAGCCACACCUCACCUCGUCCCGGGUGGAGGGUGUGAAGACUCAAGACAACUCACAUUUGCACGAUGGUGGACCUUACCGAGUAAACGGUCUCUCAGGAAAAACACAUCUCCAAUGCUUACAUUUGUAAUAGGGACACAUCACAUGAUUUGUUAUUAACGAACAGUUUAUUGGCUUUCAAUAUACAUCAAUAAAUUUUUAAAUGUAA